UACGUAGGGGGCAAGCGUUGUCCGGAUUUAUUGGGCGUAAAGAGCGUGUAGGCGGCCUGGAAGGUCAGCUGUGAAAACUCGAGGCUCAACCUCGAGACGUCGGUUGAAACCACCUGGCUAGCGUCCGGAAGAGGAGAGUGGAAUUCCCGGUGUAGCGGUGAAAUGCGCAGAUAUCGGGAAGAACACCCGUGGCGAAGGCGGCUCUCUGGGACGGUACUGACGCUGAGACGCGAAAGCGUGGGGAGCGAACAGG
rnacentral:rRNA from 1 species